rnacentral:sRNA from 1 species
UACAUCUCACUCCAGACCAUAUCCUAAGCUCCUGAGAAUACUCCAGGUAAACGUUUGCCUUUACACACCCUUAGCGCAACGUAAGGGUUGCGGCACGCCGGGAAAACGACACGGAACGUCAGGAAGGGGUCAAUGGCCGGUACGCUAAUCAAGUAAGCGUGGAAUUUUGUCUGAUCUUAACGAAAAGGGGAAGAGUUAAAAGCAGUUAUCAAUAUAAAUCGUGAGAGAUUUUUGCUUUCAAGUGUGUAAAAAAUGCGCAAUAUCACUUUUUGUGUGGGAAUAAAAAGGAGAAAACUUGAUGAGCACCGAUCUGAAAUUUUCGUUAGUGACUACCAUUAUUGUUCUGGGUUUGAUCGUCGCGGGUGGCCUGACCGCAGCGCUGCAUUGAUUU